rnacentral:ncRNA from 1 species
CUUAUUAAGAGUGGCGGAGGGAAUAGGCCCGAUGAAGCCCGGCAACCGGUUCAACCCGGUGCCAAAUCCUACGACAGCGAUGUCGGCAGAUGAG